GAUGAACGCUGGCGGCGUGCCUAAUACAUGCAAGUCGAGCGAACGGACGAGAAGCUUGCUUCUCUGAUGCUAGCGGCGGACGGGUGAGUAACACGUGGAUAACCUACCUAUAAGACUGGGAUAACUUCGGGAAACCGGAGCUAAUACCGGAUGAUAUUUUGAACCGCAUGGUUCAAAAGUGAAAGACGGUCUUGCUGUCACUUAUAGAUGGAUCCGCGCUGCAUUAGCUAGUUGGUAAGGUAACGGCUUACCAAGGCAACGAUGCAUAGCCGACCUGAGAGGGUGAUCGGCCACACUGGAACUGAGACACGGUCCAGACUCCUACGGGAGGCAGCAGUAGGGAAUCUUCCGCAAUGGGCGAAAGCCUGACGGAGCAACGCCGCGUGAGUGAUGAAGGUCUUCGGAUCGUAAAACUCGGUUAUUAGGGAAGAACAUAUGUGUAAGUAACUGUGCACAUCUUGACGGUACCUAAUCAGAAAGCCACGGCUAACUACGUG
rnacentral:rRNA from 1 species